GUUCGUCCUCUCUCUCUCGAAUUCACGGCCGCCGCGGAAGCCCCUUUUCCGGCGAGGAGCCGCCGACGCGCGUCGUCUCCGGUCAUCCUCAACAUCACCCUCGACUGAUCGGAACCCUAGUCCCUCUAUUCUCCUCUCUUCCGGUGACUACAGCAGCGACGAGCCGCUGCUGUGCCUGAACCCUAGCCACUCCAAUCCAGUCGCCCUUAGCCUCCUCUCUUCUCUCCCUCUGUCCGUGGCCGAGCGACAGCGGCAGGGCCGCCGCGCCCUGGCCUCCCUCUGCGAAAACCUAGCCUAAUCUAGCCACCGCCCCAACCCUUGUUCUCUCCUUCUCCAACAACAGCCAAGGUCAAGGCUCACACACACAACCAUCGAAGCAGUCGCCC
rnacentral:lncRNA from 1 species